UACGUAGGGUGCGAGCGUUGUCCGGAAUUAUUGGGCGUAAAGGGCUCGUAGGCGGUUUGUCGCGUCGGGAGUGAAAACUCAGGGCUUAACCCUGAGCCUGCUUCCGAUACGGGCAGACUAGAGGUAUGCAGGGGAGAACGGAAUUCCUGGUGUAGCGGUGGAAUGCGCAGAUAUCAGGAGGAACACCGGUGGCGAAGGCGGGUCUCUGGGCCGAUACUGACACUGAGAAGCGAAAGCGUGGGGAGCGAACAGG
rnacentral:rRNA from 1 species